AUUGAACGCUGGCGGCAGGCCUAACACAUGCAAGUCGAACGAGGCGCGCACGGGUGAGGAAUGUCGGGGAAAUGGCCUGAUGUAGGGGGAUAACUACUGGAAACGGGAGCUAAUACCGCAAACAAUCGGAGGUGCCCAUAUGGGAUUAGCGAGUAGGUGGGGUAAAGGCUCACCUAGGCGACGAUCCCUAGCUGGUCUGAGAGGAUGACCAGCCGAACUGGAACCGCGACACGGCCCAGACUACUAAGGGAGGCAGCAGUGGGGAAUAUGGCACAAUGGGCGCAAUCCUGAUGCAGCCAUGCCGCGUGUAUGAAGAAGGCCUUCGGGUUGUAAAGUACUUUCAGCGGGGAGGCGUUACCCGCAGAAGAAGCACCGGCUAACUCCGUGCCAGCAGCCGCGGUAAUAC
rnacentral:rRNA from 1 species